rnacentral:rRNA from 1 species
GUUGUAUGGUUAAGUGACUAAGCGUACACGGUGGAUGCCUUGGCAGUCAGAGGCGAUGAAGGACGUAUUAACUUGCGAUAAGCCCAGAUUAGGCAGUAAAGCCACUUGAGUCUGGGAUUUCCGAAUGGGGAAACCCACUUGCAUAAGCAAGUAUCAUUAACUGAAUACAUAGGUUAAUGAAGCGAACCGGGGGAACUGAAACAUCUAAGUACCCCGAGGAAGAGAAAUCAACCGAGAUUCCGGUAGUAGCGGCGAGCGAAACCGGAUUAGCCCUUAAGCUAGUUCUGCGUUAGGUGAAUGUGCUGGAAAGCACAGCGAUACAGGGUGAUAGCCCCGUAACCAAAAAUGCAUUAAUAGUGAAAUCGAGUAGGACGGGACACGUGAUAUCCUGUUUGAACAUGGGGGGACCAUCCUCCAAGGCUAAAUACUCCUGACUGACCGAUAGUGAACCAGUACCGUGAGGGAAAGGCGAAAAGAACCC